UACGUAGGGGGCAAGCGUUGUCCGGAUUUAUUGGGCGUAAAGAGCGUGUAGGCGGCUAGGUAGGUCCGUUGUGAAAACUCGAGGCUCAACCUCGAGACGCCGGUGGAAACCAUCUAGCUAGAGUCCGGAAGAGGAGAGUGGAAUUCCUGGUGUAGCGGUGAAAUGCGCAGAUAUCAGGAAGAACACCCGUGGCGAAGGCGGCUCUCUGGGACGUGACUGACGCCGAGACGCGAAAGCGUGGGGAGCGAACAGG
rnacentral:rRNA from 1 species